AUUGAACGCUGGCGGCAUGCUUUACACAUGCAAGUCGGACGGCAGCACAGAGAAGCUUGCUUCUUGGGUGGCGGGUGGCGAACGGGUGAGUAACAUAUCGGAACGUACCGAGUAAUGGGGGAUAACUAAUCGAAAGAUUAGCUAAUACCGCAUAUUCUCUGAGGAGGAAAGCAGGGGACCUUCGGGCCUUGCGUUAUUCGAGCGGCCGAUAUCUGAUUAGCUAGUUGGUGGGGUAAAGGCCUACCAAGGCGACGAUCAGUAGCGGGUCUGAGAGGAUGAUCCGCCACACUGGGACUGAGACACGGCCCAGACUCCUACGGGAGGCAGCAGUGGGGAAUUUUGGACAAUGGGCGCAAGCCUGAUCCAGCCAUGCCGCGUGUCUGAAGAAGGCCUUCGGGUUGUAAAGGACUUUUGUCAGGGAAGAAAAGGACAGGGUUAAUACCUCUGUUUGAUGACGGUACCUGAAGAAUAAGCACCGGCUAACUACGUGC
rnacentral:rRNA from 1 species